AGGAGCUCUCCAGACCCCGACGAUUGGAUGAAGUCAUGCAACCUUUCUUUGUUCCUUCUUGUCGGUGACCAUAUUCGGGUGACCUCAGUUUGGGGGAUCCAGCACACAGAUGGAGAAGUGAUUCUUCAACUCAUCGAAGUACCUACAGGGGUCAAAGCGUUACGUCUCUGCUUUGGAGGGGCUGUCAAAAAAAGUGGUCCCUGGUGUUCCAGGGUUUGGGAUGCAGAGAGGUAGACAGCAGGAAGUGCCCUGGACCCCAGGAAGGAGCGUUUCCAGUGGGACCCGGUAGAAUACGGCCCUGUGAGGAAGUGAGCUCACUGGAAGAUUUGUGUGUGUGCUGGGUGAAAACCUGCUGAGUUCGUUUCUGCCUGGUUCUUUGUGCCUGAAAUGUAAUUGUUUUGUUUUAGCACUUUCCAAGUUUGUUCGGUUUAACUCCUGUCUCCAUGGUUUCUGAGUGCUGACCUGCUUAACGCCCUGUUUUGUAUGAGAACGUAAAUAAAAGGAGUCAGACCCC